rnacentral:rRNA from 1 species
CCUGACUGCUAUCGGAUUGAUACUAAGCCACGCGAGUCAUUGUAGCAAUACAAGGCAUACGGCUCAGUAACGCGUAGUCAACCUGCCCUAUGGACGGGAAUAACCUCGGGAAACUGAGAAUAAUGCCCGAUAGAACAUUAUAUCCGGAAUGGUUUAUGUUCCAAAUGAUUUAUCGCCGUAGGAUGGGACUGCGGCCUAUCAGUUUGUUGGUGAGGUAAUGGCCCACCAAGACUAUUACAGGUACGGGCUCUGAGAGGAGUAGCCCGGAGAUGGGUACUGAGACACGGACCCAGGCCCUAUGGGGCGCAGCAGGCGAGAAAACUUUGCAAUGUGCGAAAGCACGACAAGGUUAAUCCGAGUGGUUUGUGCUAAACGAACCUUUUGUCAGUCCUAGAAACACUAACGAAUAAGGGGUGGGCAAGUUCUGGUGUCAGCCGCCGCGGUAAAACCAGCACCUCAAGUGGUCAGGAUGAUUAUUGGGCCUAAAGCAUCCGUAGCCGGCUCUGUAAGUUUUCGGUUAAAUCUGUACGCUCAACGUACAGGCUGCCGGGAAUACUGCAGAGCUAGGGAGUGGGAGAGGUAGACGGUACUCGAUAGGAAGGGGUAAAAUCCUUUGAUCUAUUGAUGACCACCUGUGGCGAAAGCGGUCUACCAGAACACGUCCGACGGUGAGGGAUGAAAGCUGGGGGAGCAAACCGGAUUAGAUACCCGGGUAGUCCCAGCUGUAAACUAUGCAAACUCAGUGAUGCAUUGGCUUGUGGCCAAUGCAGUGCUGCAGGGAAGCCGUUAAG